rnacentral:rRNA from 1 species
AUGUCGGCAGCGGAUCCAUUGGUUGUGGCUCAUGUUUUACAAGAUGUGCUUGAUCCAUUUACAUCAACUGUUCCGCUCAGGAUAGCCUACAACAAUAGGCUAGUUCUGGCAGGUGCUGAGCUAAGACCAUCUGCAAUUGUAAGCAAGCCACGAGUUGAUAUCGGUGGCAGUGACAUGAGAGUCCUCUAUACCCUGAUAUUGGUGGAUCCAGACGCCCCAAGCCCAAGUCACCCAUCACUAAGGGAGUACUUGCACUGGAUGGUGUCCGACAUCCCUGGAACAACUAGUGGCAGCUUCGGCCAAGAGCUUGUAGUUUAUGAAAGACCAGAACCCAGAUCUGGUAUUCACCGGAUGGUAUUUGUGCUGUUCCAGCAACUAGGCAGGGGAACAGUUUUUGCACCAGAUGUGCGACACAAUUUCAGCUGCAGAAACUUUGCACGGCAGUACCACCUCAACAUUGUGGCUGCCUCAUAUUUCAACUGUCAAAGGGAAGGUGGAUCUGGCGGAAGAAGGUUUAGGCCAGAAAGUUCUCAAGGGGAGUAG